UACGUAGGGACCGAGCGUUGUCCGGAAUCAUUGGGCGUAAAGAGCGUGUAGGCGGCCUUUUAAGUCCUGCGUGAAAUCCUGCGGCUCAACCGCAGACGGUCGUGGGAAACUGAAAGGCUAGAGUGCGGGAGAGGAGAGUGGAAUUCCCGGUGUAGCGGUGAAAUGCGCAGAUAUCGGGAAGAACACCCGUGGCGAAGGCGGCUCUCUGGAACGCAACUGACGCUGAGACGCGAAAGCGUGGGGAGCAAACAGG
rnacentral:rRNA from 1 species